rnacentral:Y_RNA from 1 species
GGUUGGUCCAAGGGUAUUUACAACUAAUUGAUCACAGCCAGUUACAGAUUUCUUUGUUCCUUCUCACUUUGUUCCACUCCCACUACUUCACUUGAACAGCCAUCC